GCGAGGUGGUGGAGUUGCUCUUUAKGUGAGAGGGCAACUGGAAUGUAUUGAGCUGUGCCUAGGGGUGGAUGAAGAGCGAGUCGAGAGCUUAUGGGUAAGGAUCAAAGGGCAGGCUAGCAUGGGGGACACUGUGGUGGGUGUUUACUACAGGCCACCUGAUCAGGAAGAGGAAGUUGAUGAGGCCUUCUACAGACAGCUGGAAGUAGCCUCAUGAUCCCAGGCCCUGGUUCUCAUGGGGGACUUCAACCACCCCGAUAUCUGCUGGAAAGACAACACAGCUAGGCACAAACAGUCCUGGAGGUUCCUGCAGAGCAUUGGUGACAACUUCUUGACACAGGUGGUGGAGGAGCCAACAAGGAGAGGUGUGCUGCUGGAUCUCGUACUAACAAACAAAGAAGGACUGGUGGAAGAUGUGAAGGUCGGGGGCUGCCUUGGCUGCAGUGACCACGAGAUGGUGGAGUUCAGUAUCCUGCGAGGAGGCAGCAGGGCACCAAGUAGGAUCGCAACCCUGGACUUCAGGAGAGCAAACUUUGGCCUCUUCAGGGACCUACUUGGAGGAAUCCCAUGGGUKAGGGCCCUAGAAGGAAGGGGCGUUCAAGAGAGCUGGUUAAUAUUCAAACAUCACUUCCUCCAGGCUCAAGAGCGGUGCAUCCCUAUGAGUAGGAAGUCAAGCAAAGGAGGCAGGAGACCUGCAUGGAUGAGCAAGGAGCUCCUGGCAAAACUCAACCAGAAGAAGGAAGUCUACAGAAAGUGGAAAGGGGGACAGGCCACUUGGGAGGAAUAUAGGAACGUUGUCAGAGUAUGCAGGGAUGCGACGAGGAAGGCUAAGGCCCGUUUGGAAUUAAAUCUGGCAAGGGAUGUCAAGGACAGCAAGAAGGGCUUCUUCAAAUACAUCAGCAGCAAGAGGAAGACUAGGGAAAAUGUGGGCCCUUUGCUGAAUGGGGUGGGUGCCCUGGUGACGAAGGAUGCAGAGAAGGCAGAGUUACUGAAUGCCUUCUUUGCUUCAGUCUUUACUGCUCAGGCCAG
rnacentral:lncRNA from 1 species